CUGAUGGGGCAGAUGAAAGCACAGGAAAUAGUCUGUUGCCCAAUUCUGGGCAGACGCCUGGACAUCUCCAAGGACCAGAGUCUAUGGACCUCAGUAUUCAGGGGUUCGUGAAGGGUGGGGUCCACAGAAGUCUCUUCCAGUGGGUGAAGCAGAUCUGAUUGCCUCUCUCGGCCCUGCCUCUCCCUAACUGUUUCCCUGGGUAAGUCACGUGGCAUCUGAAUGGGUUUUUGCGUCAGCAGCAUGUGAGGAUGACUCCUCCCUCUUGGGCUGUGAGCCCCGCCCCAAAGCAGGUAGAUGAUGUUCCUAACACAAAGCUGGGGGAGGAAGUGGUUUGAAUCCCACAUCUUGAUUUACUGAGUUGGGUAGUCGCUCUUCGAAGUGUCUUCCUCAGCUUGGGGCCAGCCCAGACCAAAUGUGGUUUCCUCUGUGUGUGUGCACGUGCGUGUGUGCGGGCAAGUGUGCGUGUGUCUUAGCUACUCGCCUUUCAUGGACCUAGGGUUCAUGGCCACCUGAGGAGCCUAGGACUCCCUCUCAGACCUGCCCAACAUGCCAAGAUGUUUUGGGACCCAGAUAGACACUCAUAGACCUGGCAAACACCUGGAGAGAAGGAGGGGGCCAGCUAACACCCCCUUGUCCAGAUGGCAGUUGGAGUCAAUGAAGCUCAGAGGAGUGAGUGACUCACCAGGACCGCAUAGCAAGACGGCAGCUGAUGGCAGAUCAGGGCUCCUGCCUGCCUUUUUAAAACAAUCAUCUUAUCAAGAUUUAAUGUACAUAUACUUUUUAAAAAAUAUAUACAUAUGUUCCUAACAUGUGGGACAUACAGUAUAAAGAUUUCAUACUGGAUAAAUGAUGCUCAUUAAG